GUGGCUGGAUGCAGGACGUCUGACACGGACAGAUGAGUAGACGGCUCUUCAUUAGGCACAAGGACUGACAGCCCCGGGGAGAAGGACGCCGCAGGCCCUGCAGGGCACUUGGGGCGCAGUCAGGAGCAGGGUGUGCGGGCAGCCUUUAGUGACGAGAGGAUGAGGUGACCUCCAGUUCUGUGGGAGGAUGUCACUGACUUGCUUGAAUCAUUCCGUGGGCUGGCAGGGCAGUGACAGCAGGAGCCCAGCCGGUCCCUCGGUCCCUCGAGAAGGAGGGCCUUGGGCUAUCCGACCUCAUCGGCGGCAGCUGUGAGGGACCCUCCGUGUUUUCCUAGCGCGUGAGAUUCGCCCUCAAUCGAGGCCUUCACCACGGCUCGCGUUAGUCAUGCGCCGUCUGCAAAAUGAGUCAGACAGGCCUGGGUUUGAUGCAGCCCAGUUGGGCUCCUGGCUCUCGGCAGACACGGCACCUCUGUGUGUGUGCCAGCUUUGUCCUUAGGGACAGUGGUUCCUAGGGUGGCAGCGAGGGUUAGAGGCAAGGGUGUGUCAGGGUCCAGCACACCCUGGGCGCCCCCUCACUAAGCGUGUCUUGUUAGAUUCGGGGGCUCGGGCGCAGGAGUCACCAGGCCAUGCUGGGUCCCCUGCAGCACUGCCUGCCUCUCGUAGGGCAGAGGGCUGUCCUCGUGCCACCUGUCCUGCCCAGGGGCUGCGCGCUCACAGCUGCUGUGCUCCUGACCAUAUUUGGGCAAGAGGCGGCGGCCGCUAUUAAUAACCAGCGGGGCCGCCAGGGCCCGGGGUGGUCUAUAAAGCCAGACCCACCAGCCCUGAGAGGCUCCUUCAGCCCCCGAGACCUUUAGCCCCCCUGUUGUACAGAGAGAAAAAGAAAAGUGCUUCUAUCUCGUGCACAUUCCAAAGAAAGAACCAGCUUCUGAGACUCACAGGAGGUCACCUGUAAGCCCUAGGAAUGUCCCAUCUGAUCCACUCCGCCCCAUUGAGGGGAGUGGUUAGAAGUCAGAGGACAUCCUUUCAUGGCAGCGGUUAAUGUAACCAUCUAGCGCGGAGGUCAAGGGCGGACACUUGGACGUAGGGCAGACCUGGGUUCAGAGCCUGACCUCGCUACUCACCAGCUCCGUGACCCUGCAGUGCCAUGUUGCUCUGAGCUUGACUCACUUUUACCAUCUGCAAAAUGGGACUCACAGAUAGGAAAACUGAGGCACAAAGAUGCUCGAAGAGCUGCCCAAGGUGGGCAAGCGAGCCCACUGGAGAAUUGGAAUCUCAACCCACGGCUGUCCGGUUCCACAGCUUGUGCCCUCUUGGUUCCGCUGUGUCGCUUGAAAUAAAAUUAGAGUGAGCAAGAGGAGAAUACAGAGAGACAAGUAUCUCAGCAGUGGGCACGCACAGCUUGCUUCCUACAAUUUUGAAUUCGUACCAACGACCGUCAUCCAUUCACCCAAUAUCCACUGAGCAUCAACUGUAUGCCUGUGAUCAAACCAAAAGCCCCUGCUCUCGUGGGUUCCAUGGCGGGGAACAGACUGUAAACAAGUAUGUGAAAUACUCAGCAUAUUCAAUCGUAUGAAGGCCGGGUGCCUAGAGCCCCUGCUCCGCAACAAGAGAAGCCACCGCAGUGAGAAGCCCGCGCACUGCAACGA